UUUGAAAAUUGUAUAGAUUAUUUUUAAAAGUUUAUAUAGAUAUACUGGAAAGCUUGAGGAGAUUGUUUAAUUUUAAGUAGUUAAAAUGAAUUGUUGCUGCGAAGAUUGUGUUAUACAAAAUAUUGGAAAAAAUUCAAGACACGAGUUGCAGACAGGAAGUUUCUCUCGUAUAACGGAUUAUUAUAAUCAUUAUACAAGGUGUCCCGAAAAUUCUUGAGUUCCAGCUGUACGCCGUUCAUUAUUCCAAAACGAAGGGAACUGAAUCCACCAUGGGAGAAAAGAAAAAGAAGACAUAACGUGG